UCUUUUCCUUUUGUGCCCGCCGCCGCGGUAAUACGUAGGUGGCAAGCGUUGUCCGGAUUUACUGGGUGUAAAGGGCGUGUAGGCGGAGAUGCAAGUCAGAUGUGAAAUCCCCGGGCUUAACCCGGGAACUGCAUUUGAAACUGUAUCCCUUGAGUAUCGGAGAGGCAGGCGGAAUUCCUAGUGUAGCGGUGAAAUGCGUAGAUAUUAGGAGGAACACCAGUGGCGAAGGCGGCCUGCUGGACGACAACUGACGCUGAGGCGCGAAAGCGUGGGGAGCAAACAGG
rnacentral:rRNA from 1 species